GACGACGCUGGCGGCGUGCUUAACACAUGCAAGUCGCACGGAAAGGCCCUGCUUUUGUGGGGUGCUCGAGUGGCGAACGGGUGAGUAACACGUGAGUAACCUGCCCUUGACUUUGGGAUAACUUCAGGAAACUGGGGCUAAUACCGGAUAGGAGCUCCUGCUGCAUGGUGGGGGUUGGAAAGUUUCGGCGGUUGGGGAUGGACUCGCGGCUUAUCAGCUUGUUGGUGGGGUAGUGGCUUACCAAGGCUUUGACGGGUAGCCGGCCUGAGAGGGUGACCGGCCACAUUGGGACUGAGAUACGGCCCAGACUCCUACGGGAGGCAGCAGUGGGGAAUAUUGCACAAUGGGCGGAAGCCUGAUGCAGCAACGCCGCGUGCGGGAUGACGGCCUUCGGGUUGUAAACCGCUUUCGCCUGUGACGAAGCGUGAGUGACGGUAAUGGGUAAAGAAGCACCGGCUAACUACGUG
rnacentral:rRNA from 1 species